CAAGUACUCCCUCCGUCCAGAAUUAUUUGUCAUCAAAAUGGAUGUGUCUAGAACUAAAAUACAUCUAGAUACAUCCAUUUCAAUGACAAGUAUUUUCGGAUGGAGGGAGUACAAG
rnacentral:pre_miRNA from 1 species